UCGCCGAGUUCAGCGGGAAGAACAAACAAAGACAAAGCAGAAUCACACGGGUAAAGCAAACUAUGCGAAACGAUUAAGAUGGAGACAACCGAAGCUGUUUUAUUGCUGCUGUUGGUGUGCUGUUGGUGGAGGGCGAGACAAAGACAUCUGGAUGAGGAGAUUAUGGCUCGGCGGCGAUUUCGACGGAAACUCAUUUUGGCGGCAAGACGCAAACGCGCGAUAGAGCGACGAGAAAGACGGUUAGAACGACAGCGGAAACGCCAAGAGUGGAUGAACAUGAUGAUGCAUUACUACUACACUAAUAUACUGUGCGAAUCUGACGAGUCUGACGAUGAGUAGAACAUGUGACGGGUGGAAGAGCUGCUUAAAGAUUCACAGAGGCUUUUCUUCAGAGACAUUUAUAUAAUGCUGAAACUUGCACUACAGCUGUUUUAUUUUUUUGUUGUUGUUUCUUAUAUUGUUGAGAAAUAAAAUAUUGGAAAUGAA